GAUGAACGCUAGCGGCAGGCUUAAUACAUGCAAGUCGAGGGGCAGCAGGACUGUAGCAAUACAGUUGCUGGCGACCGGCAAACGGGUGCGGAACACGUACGCAACCUACCCAAAACUGGGGGAUAGCCCGGGGAAACCCGGAUUAAUACCUCGUAACCUUUUUAAGUGGCAUCACUUGAUAAGUAUAGCUCCGGCGGUUUUGGAUGGGCGUGCGCCUGAUUAGGUAGUUGGUGCGGGUAACGGCCCACCAAGCCUGCGAUCAGUAACUGGUGUGAGAGCACGACCAGUCACACGGGCACUGAGACACGGGCCCGACUCCUACGGGAGGCAGCAGUAAGGAAUAUUGGGCAAUGGACGCAAGUCUGAACCAGCCAUGCCGCGUGAAGGAUGAAGGUCCUCUGGAUGGUAAACUUCUUUUAGGGGGGAAGAAACCCGGAUAUUCUUAUCCGAUUGACGGUACCUCAGGAAUAAGCACCGGCUAACUCCGUG
rnacentral:rRNA from 1 species